rnacentral:rRNA from 1 species
CUCCACGAAGUUGGAUUCGCUAGUAAUCGCGCAUCAGCCAUGGCGCGGUGAAUACGUUCCCGGGCCUUGUACACACCGCCCGUCAAGCCAUGGAAGCUGGGGGUGCCUGAAGUUCGUGACCGGAAGGAGCGACCUAGGGCAAAACCGGUGACUGGGGCUAAGUCGUAACAAGGUACC